rnacentral:snRNA from 1 species
GUAUUCCACACGGAAUAAUUAUACUAAAAUUGGAACGAUACAGAGAAGAUUAGCAUGGCCCCUGCGCAAGGAUGACACGCAAAAUCGUGAAGCGUUCCUAAUUUUU